UGUGACCAUUUCAAACUUCCUCCUUUCAAUUCUUUCUUUGUCUUGCUCUCUGGAACACAAAGGGGCCAGCUACUCUCAACUACAGGUGAAUUGGAAUAGAUCUAUCCGCCACAAUGCCUACCAAGCAAAGAAUGAGACUUGCCAAUCAAAAACACAGUCAAAAUGUCAACCACAGAGGAAAUGUAGCCAAGAGCCUGAAACCAACUGAAGAUAAGAGUCCAAUUGGCCCAUACCUUCUUGCCUUCAUCAUAUUCGUGGUCUGUGGUUCAGCCAUCUUCCAAAUUGUUCAGAGUAUUUGGGCAGCUUAAGAAACCUCUCCAUAUUACAACUGUAACAUCAUUAUCAGACUAUACUGUAUUAUUUCGAAAGCUCAUUAAUUACUAUUAUUACUAAUUAUUAUUAUUUUAUUAUUAUUAUUAUUGUUAUUAUUAUGUAUUGCCUCGUACAUUGUUUAUCCCUUAAUGCAUCAAAAAUAAUUAUCAUAAUUAUUAUUAUAAUAAUUAUAAUUUUAUUAAUAAAA